GCCUGAUUAGCAUAAAAGUAAUGCAACCGUUUUGUAAUCGGUAGAAAUAAGUGCAAUACUUAUAUUAGGCU
rfam:Genlisea aurea contig_16144, whole genome shotgun sequence.